AUUUUUUGAGAAUUAUAAAAAGGAGAGAUUUUUUAAAAGGAAAACUCGUCUAUUUUUAUCUGUUCUGAAAUUUCAACGGAUUAUCUUAGAACCUAUAAAUUUCACACCAUUUUCAUCUGUAUCACUUUCCUGUAAAAGUUACACUAUUUAUUAUAUCCACGCAUCGGUUUUCUCCUCAUCUGGAUCCCUAUUAUUUUCAACCAAACCCUAAUCUCAACGAGAUUUUGAUCUUGAUCUCGCCCCUAACCUGAUCUAAAAUCAAGCAACUUUCAGAUCAAUUUUCCUGCUAGCCAGGAACAGAAAUGUCUUUUCCGCGUAAUUUCACCUCACAGGUAGGCACUACCAAUGAUGACUAUCGGUCCUCCUUCCGUAGGAACAACUUCGGCAACAACAACAGGAACAGAACCAGGAACUAUUAUAACAACAGAAAUUAUAGCAAUAUCAGUGACUUCUCUGGGAAAAUUUGGCAGCAUAAUGACAAUCUCAGCCAUGCUAAGCCUGAUCAUUUCAGUCAUGCUAAUCCUGAUGAUUUAGGAUUGCCAUAUUUGAAAAGGAGAAAACUCUCAUCUUGUGCUUGGGGAGGCAGUGGGAGACAGUACGUGCCACCUGGGGCAUAUAACUUGGCCCCUCCAACCUGCAAUUAUGCAGUCUCUCGGACAAGAUCCCAUGCAGAGGCCUCUAUGUCCAGUAGCUGUAAACGUGACUGCUCACAAUUGGAAGAUGAUGAACCGGUCUUCAUGUCUAGGGAUGAGAUUGAGAGGUACUCCCCAUCAAGAAAAGAUGGUAUUGAUGCUCUUCGUGAAGCUCAUUUGCGGUACUCAUACUGCACUUUCCUUCAUAAUCUUGGACUGCGACUCGAGCUGCCCCAAACCACUAUUGGUACUGCUACGGUUCUGUGCCACCGGUUUUUUGUUCGACAAUCACAUGCUUCUUAUGAUAGAUUUUUGAUUGCUACUGCUGCUCUUUUUCUUGCUGCAAAGUCUGAGGAGACUCCGUGCCCUUUGAACAAUGUGCUGAGAGUAUCUUGUGAAAUUACCCAUAAGCAGGAUUUUUCUUUCUUGUCCUAUCUGCUUCCUGCUGACUGGUUUGAGCUGUAUCGGGAACGAGUGAUUGAGGCUGAGAAUAUGAUACUGACUACUCUAAAUUUUGAGCUAAAUGUGCAACAUCCAUACGCUCCACUUACAUCCGUUCUUAACAAACUAGGUCUUUCGCAAACUGUUUUGGUCAAUCUGGCAUUAAACUUGGUCAGUGAAGGGGUUGGCUCAAGUGGUGAAGGCCUUGGUCUUGGUGGUAUGCUCCCUUCAGGUCUAAGGUUUAAAUCCUAUUGGGUGCAAACGAUUUUUAGGGGACAUCGGACUGGGGGAACUUCCCCUUGAAUUAUCCAAUGUGCACUUGCGGGAAACUCCUUGCCGAGGGUCUAUGCACCUCCGGGAUUAGUCGGGACUUUGUUCUUGGACACCGAGUGCCAAUAAAAGAAAAAAAAUAUAAUUGACACUGUUAUUAUUGUUGUUAUUGUUGCUAUUUUAUGCUAUUACUAUUGUUAUUAAUAUUAUAAUUAUGACUAUUAGUACAUAAUAAUUAAGGAAAAUUACACUGUCCAUGCUGCGACUAACAUACAUUUUACAAUGUGCAUCCAAAAGUGUCAAAAUAGAUACAUUAACUACCAAAAAGUUAGAAUGUGCAUCCUUGAUUUCUCUCUGACCGUAAGAUUGAUUCUCGUAACUUAUAUUUCAUCACUUUUAAUGGUUGGACAAGGAUGCUAUUUGACAGAAAGUGGUAGUUGAAGGUGCAGUUUGCCAAUUUUCACAGUUUAGGGUGCACGCUACAAAGGUGUAUUGGUUUUAGAGGGUGGAAAGUGAUUUUUACUACUGCUACCACUGAAAUUAUUUAAUGGUACAUUACUAUCACAAUGUCACCUCCUCUUCUCCUUUCUUAAAAUUUUCAUAUCUGUGAAGGCUUACAAUUUGAAGGAGUUGAAUGUCCCGAUAUUUAAUCAUCCAUACGUUUUUCAAACUGAGACACAAUAUUUUUAGGCUUGACUAUAAUAUGUCAAGGGAUUCUCAUUCCGAUGUUGGGGUGUUUAUCAUCUCUUAAAAAACCAUUUAAGUUGUUUAGUCAGUGUUGUAACUUCAAAAUGUUUUCCAAUUUUCCCUCAACACCCCCCUGGGUGGCCCACCCAGGAACUGAAAAGGGAAAUGAAAUCACUGUAGAACUUCUUUUAAUUUUGUCCCUGGUCACAUGAAGUUGCAUUUCAAAAUGUUGAUCAAUUUUUACUCAAUUUCCCACUCCUUUUGUCUGUCCAAACUCUUCUAUCGAUUUCAUUUUAUGCACGUGUAUUAUCUGUUGAUUCUGUUGGGUCUUUACCAAUGCAGUUUAGUUUUUGCAUUGACAUUCAAAAAAAAAAAAAAAAAGAGAGACUUGUGAAGAAACCUCUCUACUUUUCAAGUUGGUGUUAAGAUUUUUAGAGAAGAUCCACUCCCACAUAGUCUUCCGGAAGGUAACUUUUGUACAUGCCUUUUUUCACCUUGUCUCUCUCCACAUGCAACAAAAGCCCUUGUAACUGUCUACAAAAUCAACUAUAAUUGAAAACCAUGGUUCUCAAUUAUGUUGAUCAAUUUUCCCUAAAAGAAUUCCCCCCCGCUCCAAUCAGGAGCCGAAAAAGAAAAGAAAUCAUCUAAGAACAUUUUUUAAUUUUCUCCCUGGUCACAUGUAUGUUGUGUUUCAAAAUGUGGAUCAAUUUUGUCCUCAAUUUCCCCUUGUUUCAGUCUGUCCAAAUUCUUCUACCGAUUUCAUCAUGUAUACACAUGCAUUAUCUGUUGAUUCUGUGGGGUCUUUACCAUUGCAGCUUAUUUUUUGGGUUGAAGAGUUAAUAUGAAGAAACCUUACUACUUUUAAGUUGGUAUCUAAACUUUUAGAGAAGACUCCCUCACACAGUCUUCCUGAAGGUAACUCUUGCACAUGCCUUUUCUCUAUCCUUAUCUCUCCUCACAUGUUACAAACACCCUUGUCUACAAAAGCAACUACAGUUGCUGUUGCAUGUACCGCAGCAAUCUUUUGUUCUUUUUCUAAAAGGUCAUCAACAGGCCUUGCUAUACAUCUAUUAUUUUUACAGAUUGCUUCAACAUAUUUGUUUGUUAAAUAAAAAAGAUACAUAGAACUUGUGCCUAAUGUUUUAAUCAAUUUGAUAUAAAUGAUGCUUCUUUUGUUAUAUUAUGCCUGCAAUACUCCCUCCAAUAGAAGAUUUUGGGUGGUAUUCUAUAGUUGUUGUUAAAUGUAUGCUCUAUUAGCAUGAAAGCAUGCGUGUCAACCAGCCUGUCCAGAAGCGGAGGAUGUUGGUAUUUGCUUUCUUGUUUGAAUUGCAUGUCUCUGGAAUUAAAAGCCCGCAGCAGAAUUGUUCCUGGGAGUUUGUUGUGUUCACUAGAUGAGUACAACUUGUAUGUUAUAGUUUUGGUACUCUAUCAGCAGUCCUGCAGAGAUUCUUGGAUACUAUUCUACCUGCGUUGCUGCAUUUUUAGUUGGCUUCGAAGCUCGCUGUGGCUUCAAUUCAAACCUCAUCAUAUUGCUGCUGGAGCUGUCUACCUUGCUGCUAAGUUUCUGAAUUUAGAUCUUACUUCUUAUCAAAAUAUCUGGCU